GUCAAGAAGCCAUGGAAACGCGGCUCCACCACACCUUGACAGCAGUAGCAUCCCAGAUCCAUGCUGUGUCGUCGUGUGACUGUUGUGGCUGAACAGGUUGAGCUCGUGCGACUAGGCCUACUCUCUGCCGUUCUGAAGGUGCCAGGGGGGGGGGAAAAAACGUCCUUCAGCAAGCUGAUGAGCCAAGGAGGAGGACAGAAGAGAACAGCAGGCCAGUGGAGCACUUGGAACAGCAGAAUCCAGAGGAAACUGUUAGGGAAGAGGAUGAUUUAGGUGACCCAAACACAGGCCCAAAACAACCGGGACAGGACGAGAGAGGAGGGUGGACAAGAGACAGCAACAUAAGUCUAAGAGACAGCAACAGAAGAGGGCAGACAAGAGAGACAGCGUCAGAUGAAACAGAGAAAGCGAUGGAGAGAGGCAGAGGAGGGGACCUGAGCCCUAGGACCAUGCCUCAGGACUACCUGGCCUGAUGACUCCUUGCUGUCCCCAGUCCACCUGGCCGUGCUGCUGCUCCAGUUUCAACUGUUCUGCCUGCAGCUAUGGAACACUGACCUGUUCACCGGACAUGCUACCUGUCCCAGACCUGCUGUUUUCAACUCUCUAGAGACAGCAGGAGUGGUAGAGAUACUCUGAAUGAUCGGCUGUGAAAAGCCAACUGACAUUUACUCCUGAGGUGCUGACUUGUCGCACCCUCGACAACCACUGUGAUUAUUAUUAUUUGACCCUGUUGGUCAUCUAUGAACAUUUGAACAUCUUGGCCAUGUUCUGUUAUAAUCUCCAUCCGGCACAGCCAGAAGAGGACUGGCCACCCCUCAUAGUCUGGUUCCUCUCUAGGUUUCUUACUAGGUUCUGGCCUUUCUAGGAAGUUUUUCCUAGUCACCGUGCUUCUACACCUGCAUUGAUUGCUGUUUGGGGUUUUAGGCUGUGUUUCUGUACAGUACUCUGUGACAUCAGCUGAUGUAAGAAGGGCUUUAUAAAUACAUUUGAUUGAUUUGAUUGAUUGUCUGAUGAAACAGAAAUAGAACUGUUUGGCCAUAAUGACCAUC
rnacentral:lncRNA from 1 species